CUCGUUUUCCUCUGGUCCAUGGCAUCCUCCUGCCACCGAGAAAGCUAUUAGGAAAUCCUUUGAUGUGGUGGUUCUUGAAACACAGUCAUCUGGAAGAAAAGAGAUAGAAGACACUCCAUCUACCUUUUCGAUGCCAAGAUCUGCUUGGUUCUUGAACUCAAUUCUCGAUUUGGUUAGUAUUGCGGUAUUCGGCCAUGAUACAUACUUUCAUGAUACAUACUCCGAAUGCGUCCUUGUUACAUGGCCAAGCUACUGUGAUCUUGAUUAGCUAUUUUAGGAAUGGUCUC
rnacentral:lncRNA from 1 species